rnacentral:rRNA from 1 species
UACAGAGGGGGCAAGCGUUAUUCGGAAUUAUUGGGCGUAAAGAGCGCGUAGGCGGCUUGGCAAGUGGAAGGUGAAAUCCCUCGGCUUAACCGAGGAACUGCCCUCCAAACUGCUUCGCUUGAGACCGGGAGAGGUGAGUGGAAUUCCCAGUGUAGCGGUGAAAUGCGUAGAUAUUGGGAGGAACACCAGUGGCGAAGGCGGCUCACUGGACCGGUACUGACGCUGAUGCGCGAAAGCGUGGGGAGCAAACGGG